CUAGACUUUGCCUUUCCACACCCACAGAGUUACAAGAUAGAGUUAAGAAAUCCUCAAUACACACAGUUUCCUGCUGGUGAUUGUGAAGUGACUCUGUAAGCACCACCCCAUUAUUUCUCCACUGCCAACCAAAUGAACCAGAAUUUGCUGAAGAGAAGCCUAAAAAUUGGUGUUCCAGAAAUAUUUGCUGAAAGAAUGAAGUAAGGAAUAAAUGGGUAGAUGAGGAAGACCCCUAGGGAUAUGCCCCUCAGCUAUAUAAAUGGUCACAGUGGCAAGCUCUUCAAUGAGUGAAGGAUAAAGCAAAUGUGACACAAAGCAACUGAUAAAUUUAAAUAAUGGGUAUGCAGUAAUUCUCAUUAGAGAAGGAGUCAUGGAUUUCAUAUGAGGAACUCAAUAUGUAUUUGUUGGAAUGAAGAAAACCAUGAAAUAUACUUUCUCAUUAUUCCCAUGUGAUAGUUU